AUACUAUAUUGUGAGCUAAGGAGAGUGAGGUAGGAAAAUGCAUAAUCAGGGUGCUGCUGGCUGGAGAAAACUACUCAGUGCCUUUGAAGACAGCUCUAGUUAAGGUUCAAGAGCAGCCACUGCUAGCAUAAUUACUAUCAAUGAAAGUGGCAACACCCGUGGUGAGUUCCCAGAAUAGCUGAGAUUCUAAUUGAUAACACACAGAGAACACAAGCAAAUCAGAAAGGACAAAAGGCUAUUAAUUUUGAGUAUAAACUACAUGAAAUGAAAAUGAAGACAAGGAAAAUGUGUUUUAACAGAAAGAAAGGACUCUGUGCUCAGAAUCGGCUUCUUCCUUUUAUGGCCCUUGUACUCAGUGGGAGACACGGCCGAGGGAUCACAAGAAGACCUGUCUCAGUCCCCUUCCACUUCAGCACACAAGGUCAAAGCAUGUCGUGCAUUUCUCUUCUGCUAUUAAUCUUCAUUACCCAAACAGUCAUUAAAUGAAACUCAGCCCACGUUUUUUUUUCCUGUUCAGUUUUUAUUACCACCACCUGACUAAUUAUUAAAAAGCAAGCAAGCAUCAAUUAGAUCCAGACACAUACAUGACAAUUACACUGGGGAGACACGACAGGGUUGAACAACACAUCCCCCUGGAGUGCAUAAUAAUCUGGCAGAGACCAGAGCUCUAUGUAUAAGCAACAAAUGCAUCUAAUUGACUUCCUGGGAAGCGAGGUCCUCAUGUCAAAACAUCUGGGUACAAUUUUCUGGGCAUUUAAACAGCUCUGACUCCAGAGAGACAUGGAGUAUGCCCUGGGCUGCAUCUAGACUGGAUUUACACAACCCCCUAGCACCUUAUCCUUGGUUCUUGCACCACAUAUGCCUUUUUCUUUAGCUCUUGGUCCAGUUCACCUGUUAUAGUUUGAAGUGAUAGACUUUUCUUCCUAUAUUUCAUCAGCCAAUCCUGUACCACACUGAAUUUCUGGCCAUUCCAUGGACAGGAAAGGAGGGUCAGUAGGCACCUUACACAUGUUCUUUCCCCCCUUGCUUUGCUAAAAAUGUGCACUCAUUCUUCAACUCCUGGUCUAAAUGUCACUGAGUUAAUGUAGUUUUUACUGAUUGCCCCCAAGCAUUUAGCUGCCUCCCAUCUUCUUUUUUUUAACUUAUUAGUUUAUUCAUGAGAGACACAGAGAGAGAGAGAGAGAGACAGAGACAGAGACAGAGACACAGGUGGAGGGAGAAGCAGGCCCCAUGCAGGGAGCCCGAUGCAGGACUCGAUCCUGGGACUUCAGGAUCAUGCCCUGGGCCAAAGGCAGGCGCUAAACCCCUGAG
rnacentral:lncRNA from 1 species